rnacentral:lncRNA from 1 species
CUCCUCUCCUCUCCUCUCCUCUCCUCUCCUCUUUUUCCCUUUCCUUUCCUUUCCUUUCCUUUCCUUUCCUUUCCUUUCCUUUCCUUUCCUUUCCUUUCCUUUCCUUUCCUUUCCUUUCCUUUCCUUUCCUUUCCUUUCCUUUCCUUUCCUUUCCUUUCCUUUCCUUUCCUUUCCUUUCCUUUCCUUUCCUUUCCUUUCCUUUUCCCUUUUCUUCUUUUUCCUUCUUAUUUUUUCCCUCUUUUAUUAUUUUUCCCCCUCUUUUCCUUUUCUCCUUCUUUUCUUUCUUCCCAGUCCCGCUACCCUUUCCCAUCCAGAGACUUUAACUCUCUCCCCCCGCCGCCCAUGGCGGUCUAUAUCCUAAACGGGACCCGAUGCUCCCCGCAUUCCUUUUACAGGAUCUCGUGGGGCUUUUGCGCGGGAUUUGCGCGGGCAUUGCGCGGAGUUUGCUGUCCAGCGCACCCGGGCCCACCCGAGGCGGCCGCAUCCGAAGGCGGUGGGGCCGGGGCUGCUCGGGACGGUGGGGCAGAGGCUGCAGGGAGGGGCCGAUCUCCUCCUUCGACGGCACACGGAACGCUGCGCUGCUCACCCGAUGUCUAUUCGAUUACCUGUGAAUACGGGGUGGUUUUCUUGUUUUGUUUUGUUCUGUUCUGUUUGUGUCAAGUCGUGGCUGUAGACGACGGAAGCCUGAGUGAAAGUAAUCAGGCAACGUGAUGGAGCGAUCGCUUAAUAAAAGCCAGCACGUUGCUUUCGUGUUGGAAAUCACCGGCGACGUCUCUAAGCCGGGGGCAACUGCUGCAUUCCCUGCCGUCUCCAAGAAGGGGACCCAAACUCAGCGAGUGGGAUAGUUGGCUCCAUUCUGUUGGGGUUCUUUUGUCUUUUUUUGUUUGUUUGUUUGUUUGUUUUCCAGUGCUGUGUUUGUUUCUGUUCGCACCCGUUCGAUGGACGCGUUUCAGCCCCACGUGCUCUGCCAAAACGCAGCGUGUCUCCCCAUUGAGCCAGCGGCUGGAAAAGCUCCCGAUCCUCGCGGAAGGCACCGAAGGGAAGGCUCCGAAAUCCCGGAGCUGGUGUGUGUGAUACUUUCAGGAUUAGAGACACUCAGGAAAGAGCCAUUGCCUGUUCUCAUCUGGCUGAAACCAACCGACCGACCAACCAACCAACCCCAAACCUUUAUUGAUGAAGUUCUGUCACUCUGAGCGGGCUGUCACCUGCGGCACAAAAGCAGACGGCUCCGUCUGACUGCAGCCUGGGCUGCGUUCUGUGUGCCUUCAUCUCUCGGCACGGCCGCGCCCCACUCAGGCGCUGCUAUUCAUUCAAACGGGACGAGCCCCACUGCGCUGACAUUAACAGGGACUGGCUUUUCCCGACCUUGACAUGCCGUCAAAAGAACCUUGGCCAGGAUCAGCUCUUCAGUGCAGGUGUGUAACACGUUACCUCGCUGGAAGAAAGAACUUCAAGAAUGCAUUUUGAGAUGCGUGCCAUCAUCUUAACAGAAGGCGAUUCCUGGAGGUUAUGAAGCGGUGCGAUAGCUGCUUGGUUUAACAGCUGCUCAGCGUUACCGCCGUGUUCCCCUCUUAUUGGCAAUGCUGUCUGCUUUUGGCCAAGGGGUGGCAGAAGCACCAGGCAGGAGCUGUGCCAGCUUUGGGCUGAGGUCCUGGUGAGGACCUUCUCGUGCUGGUUCUGAGCUAAGCAGUGUCUCUGCAGCACCUUUCUGUGGGAUGGGGAAGCUUUUCCAGCUUAGCCUAGGAGCUAACAGGGAAUGGUUUAAAACUGAGGCAGGGGAGGUUUAGAUUGGAUAUUAGGAGGAAGUUUUUCACCCAGAGGGUGGUGACACAUUGGAACAGAUUGCCCAUGGAGGCUGUGGAUGCCCCAUCCCUGGAGGCAUUCAAGGCCGGGCUGGAUGUGGCUCUGGGCAGCCUGGUCUGCUGGUUGGCGACCCUGCACAUAGCAGGGGGAUGAAACUCAUGAAACUCAAUGAUCACUGUGGUCCUUUCCAACCCAGGCCAUUCUAUGAUUCUAUGAUGUGAUUCUCUCUGUUAGAGAGGAGAUGUGAUGUGAGGUAAAACGUUUGGUUCUGCUGGGCUCGAUGCUCUUCCUCAUGCACAAAACCUACAGAAGUGGGCUGCCAUAGCGCCAAAAUAUCCUCAUGAGUAUAUGUGAGGAGCAAAUUGAAGCUAAAAUUGUCUCUUAAGCUAUCAAGAGCCAGGGAAACAGCUCUCUGUUCUCACCUUCUUUCAUCAGCACAACUGGUUGCAUCUCCUCAGCAAGGAGUGGAGCAUCCUUGUCAGGACUGGAUUUAGUCUAGAAAAUUACAUUUUACUCCCUUAUUCUUCUUUCCCAUGUGGAUGUUUAGUUCUAAUUUUGAGUUUCCUGAGCAACAUUCCUGCAGGUUGUUUUUUUUUUUUUUUUUUUUCCAUUUCGCUAUUUAUCUGUAUAUGGCACUCUGAUGCUAUCCUUCAUUUCUUUUCCAUUUUCCACGUCUUUGUUUUGAUGUAGAGCUCCUGAUAAAUGAAGACAUACUGUCUGAGCUUUAGUGAUCAGAAGAACACUAUGUCCCAUCCCUGGAGGCGCUCAAGGCCAGGUUGGAUGGGCCCAUGGGCAGCCUGAGCUGGUGGGGGGCAGCCCUGCCCAUGGCAGGGGUUGGGGAGGCGUGGGCUUUGAGGCCCUCUUCAAACCAAACCCUCUGUGGUUCUGUGAUUCUAUGAUCCUGAUUCUACUAUUCUAUGACUGAUUCUAUGAUUCUGUGAAAACUUGGGUAUGGCUUCCUAUGUGAUCUCUUACCGGAACGAAAACAGCCCCCGUGUUGUUCCUUUGCCCCGUCCCCAUCCCACUUGUAGGAGAAAAAUCUUUCAGCUGGGAUGGUGCCAGCAGAAGGAUGCACCCGUAUCACCAAACCCCAGAGUUCUGUCAGUGGGAUCCGGCAACAGAAGAGACCCCCAGUCCUGAGGCGUUCACAUUCUGCAGAGCGACCAUUUUGAUGACGCAACAAACUUUUGCAUGGUGACAACAUCUGCCAACUUGGAAAGUCCACGCCAGAAACUUGGCGAGAUUCCUCCUCCGUUCGUCAUGAUUUCGGGGGGCCGCAGCCCUCUCGCCUCUCGCUGGGACUCACGCUGACGGAGAAACAGCUGAACUCUGCAUUUGGGGGAACGCAUCAAAGCCCCGGGCCCGUCCGGCACCGUCCCUGGCAGCCGUGGUGUCAAAGGUUGCUGCGAGCACCUCCCCGGGUGCCCGGUGGCUUUGUGCGAGAGGGCGGCCCCAGCAGAUGGCCCGAAUGCGCCCCUCAGCCGGGCAGAGAGGGACGGCAGCACAGAGCCAUAGAUGUCUCAUUAGCAAACGGGGGGGGGGGGGGGGGGGGGGGGGGGAAAGCAAGGAUGAGAAAAAAAGAUAAAAAGAAUACACAAAGCCAUUUACAUAUUUACAUUGUUUCUCCCUCAUUUUAGAUUCUCCUUUAGCUGAAGUGUCAGUGUGCUUGCUUUUCUCCUUCUGUUUGUAUGUUUACUUGUGCUAAAUAGAUUAUGGUAAUCAGGCACAUAAAUGCAUGCAACUGUUAUUAUGGCAUUUUAAUCACAGAGUUUUUCACUGGAAGCCUUCAUUAGAAUUCUCAUAAUCUCACUUGUUAGUGUAACAAACAGCAAUAAAUGCCAAGGAACUCGGAUUAAGUCAGAGACAUUCAGACAUUAAAGGAGGAAUAUGGAAAUGCUGUGAAAUCUCCGCAUUAUUUAUUGAAAUGUCACAUAAACAGUUCAGGACUUUCAAUAUCUUACUCAUUACAGGGAUAGGGCAUGCGGCCACCUGAAGAUAGCAAUUAGGGUUUUUUAGGCAGUACGGUGACCAUAUGUCUCUCAUAGUUCCUCUCCAACUUCGCUGCACUCACGGCUGCCCGGUAGACAGUUGGACUCAACGAUCGUAGAGGCCUUUUCCGACCUUAGUGGUUCUAUGGUUUCUAACUUUGUAUUUACGGGUGAAGUCGAGCCCUGAGGCACUUCGAUGGGGCAGGGGGAUGCUGGGCCUUCUCUGAGGGGAUUCCCUUCUGCUGAUAACAUUGUGAGGAACAGAAAAUCGCUGCUUUUUGCAUGCAAGUCCUCCCGUCAAUUUCAUACGGCACCAUAUAAAGGCCACCUCCUACUCAUGAAUAUGCACAGAACUCUGCCCUCUUGGCCCCUUGCCACUGCCGAUGUAAAACACUUGAGCAGCAAAGUUAUUCAAAGUGUCUUUUUUUUUUUUUUUUUAACCCUUUUCCUUUUGUGUUUUUCCCUUUUAAGAAGAAGCAGGAAAACUGAAUGCAAAAAGCGAAUGCGGUCAUAUUGGAUUUCCCACCGUUGGCAUCACUGUGUGGCUCUCGCAUCCAUUUGAGAUGUACCCUCCCAGAUGUGGGCAAAUAAGAUGCUGAAAUAGAAGAACGGUGUGAGCUGGGAAUGGGCUGCUCUCAUGCCUUCAGCAUCAGCCCUGAAGUUAAACUCUGUGUAGCUGCUGGAUCACCCAGCAUUUUUAAUGCCGAUUGAAGUGCACAGAAUUCAUGUGGGCUAUCUAAAGUACAGGUAUUUAUGCUCUGAAUCUGAAGUUUUUGAGGUCUUUUGCUCUCCCCGUCCUAAAAUGCAAACCAUCCAGAAGGGAUUUACUCUUCAUAGAAACUGAUGCGAAGGUGAGGCCACUUCGUUCCAGACUCCCCCCUUGAAGCCCUGAGGAAAUCUCUCUGCAGAGUGAUGUAUAGAAACAUUUUCAUAAAAUCAUAGGAUCAUGAAGGCUGGAAAAAACUUCUACGAUCACCCAGUCCAACUGUCAGCCUAUUGCCCCCAUGCCCACUGACCACAUCCCUCAGUGCCACAUCCACACAGCUCUUGAACACCUGCAGGGAUGGUGACUCCACCACCUCCCUGGGCAGCCAAUUUUGUUAGAUCCAGUUGCCCUUCGGCCCCAUUUGAUGCUUCAGGAGCCCCUCUGUGCCCAGAAGAUGAGCCCUCCUGGUUUGCUUUUGGUGUUUGCCACAUAUUUUUGGAAAUGUGGCUCUGAUUCUGUGCAUUUCCCAUCACAAUGCUCCACAGACAGCCCUUUCACAAGCCACUGAGAUGCAGAAAGGU